rnacentral:rRNA from 1 species
GGUGAACGCUGGCGGCGUGCCUAAUACAUGCAAGUAGAACGCUGAAGGAGGAGCUUGCUCUUCUGGAUGAGUUGCGAACGGGUGAGUAACGCGUAGGUAACCUGCCUGGUAGCGGGGGAUAACUAUUGGAAACGAUAGCUAAUACCGCAUGACAACAGUUAUUGCAUGAUAACUGUUUAAAAGGGGCAACUGCUCCACUACCAGAUGGACCUGCGUUGUAUUAGCUAGUUGGUGAGGUAACGGCUCACCAAGGCGACGAUACAUAGCCGACCUGAGAGGGUGAUCGGCCACACUGGGACUGAGACACGGCCCAGACUCCUACGGGAGGCAGCAGUAGGGAAUCUUCGGCAAUGGACGGAAGUCUGACCGAGCAACGCCGCGUGAGUGAAGAAGGUUUUCGGAUCGUAAAGCUCUGUUGUAAGAGAAGAACGAGUGUGAGAGUGGAAAGUUCACACUGUGACGGUAUCUUACCAGAAAGAGACGGCUAACUACGUG